UACGUAGGGGGCAAGCGUUGUUCGGAAUUACUGGGCGUAAAGCGCGCGUAGGCGGACCUGCAAGUCGGGGGUGAAAGCCCGAGGCUCAACCUCGGAACUGCCUUCGAUACUGCGGGUCUCGAGUCCGGGAGAGGUGAGUGGAAUUCCUAGUGUAGAGGUGAAAUUCGUAGAUAUUAGGAAGAACACCAGUGGCGAAGGCGGCUCACUGGCCCGGUACUGACGCUGAGGCGCGAAAGCGUGGGGAGCAAACAGG
rnacentral:rRNA from 1 species